GCAGCAUUGGCACAAUCGGAUAGAGCAGCGGAGUUCUAAUCCGCUGGUUGCUGGUUCGAGUCCAGCAUGCUGCACCA
rnacentral:tRNA from 1 species